CACGGGGGGAGCAAGCGUUGUUCGGAAUCACUGGGCGGAAAGGGCGUGUAGGCGGUCAAGUAAGUGGAAUGUGAAAGCCCCCGGCUUACCCGGGGAUCUGCAUCCCAAACUGCUUGGCUUGAGUACGGGAGAGGAUAGGGGAAUUCCUGGUGUAGCGGUGAAAUGCGUAGAUAUCAGGAGGAACACCGGUGGCGAAGGCGCCUAUCUGGCCCGAUACUGACGCUGAGGCGCGAAAGCGUGGGGAGCGAACAGG
rnacentral:rRNA from 1 species